GUGUGAUGUUGGCUGUGGAUUUGCCAUAUACGGCCUUUAUUAUGUUGAGGUAAUCGUAGUGACAGAAAAAGCCUGAAAUGCUGUGAGCAGUGACUUCUCAGUCAGUUGCUGGUUGGCCUAUCCAUUCUGGGGCACGGGUCUACCUCUCAGGGAGUGAGAAAAAC